rnacentral:rRNA from 1 species
GAUUAAGUGUCGUAAGGGCAUUUGGUGGAUGCCUUGGCAUGCACAGGCGAUGAAGGACGUGAUACGCUGCGAUAAGCCGUGGGGAGCUGCGAAUGAGCUUUGAUCCAUGGAUUUCCGAAUGGGGAAACCCACCUUAAAUGCUUGGGAAAUCUGAACUGUCUUGACCGGCCUUUUGACUUCGAGUGAUCGAGGGAAAAGGGUUCGAAGCCGUUUGGCUUCGCAAGGCCAAGGGCCGUCGCUGCUGAUGCAGCGUGGGUUCUGCGGUUUUGGAAGAGGUUGGGACGUGUCAGGUUUCCAAGCAUUGUUAAUAAGGUAUCUUAUUCUGAAUACAUAGGGGUAAGAAGCGAACUCGGGGAACUGAAACAUCUAAGUACCCGAAGGAAAGGACAUCAACCGAGACUCCGUAAGUAGUGGCGAGCGAACACGGACCAGGCCAGUGGCAAUGAGGAAUAAAGCGGAACAAGUUGGAAAGCUUGGCCAUAGUGGGUGACAGCCCCGUACGCGUAGAACACUCAUUGUCCUAGAGUAGGGCGGGACACGUGAAAUCCUGUUCGAACAUGGGGAGACCACUCUCCAAGCCUAAGUACUCGUGCAUGACCGAUAGCGAACAAGUACCGUGAGGGAAAGGUGAAAAGCACCCCGACAAGGGGAGUGAAAUAGAACCUGAAACCGGAUGCCUACAAACAGUAGGAGGGCGAAAGCCUGACUGCGUACCUUUUGUAUAAUGGGUCAACGACUUAGUGUAACUAGCAAGCUUAAGCCGGUAGGUGUAGGCGCAGCGAAAGCGAGUGUUAAUAGCGCGAUUGAGUUAGUUGCAUUAGACCCGAAACCGAGUGAUCUAGCCAUGAGCAGGUUGAAGGUUGGGUAACACCAACUGGAGGACCGAACCCGCAUCUGUUGCAAUAGAUUGGGAUGACUUGUGGUUAGGGGUGAAAGGCCAAUCAAACUCGGAAAUAGCUGGUUCUCCGCGAAAACUAUUUAGGUAGUGCGUCGAUCGAAUACCUCAGGGGGUAGAGCACUGGAUGGGCUAUGGGGACUCACCGUCUUACUGAUCCUAACCAAACUCCGAAUACCUGAGAGUACUAAUCGGCAGACACACGGCGGGUGCUAACGUCCGUCGUGAAGAGGGCAACAACCCUGACCUCCAGCUAAGGUCCCCAAGUCAUGGCUAAGUGGGAAAGGAUGUGAGGAUCCCAAAACAACCAGGAUGUUGGCUUAGAAGCAGCCAUCAUUUAAAGAAAGCGUAACAGCUCACUGGUCUAAAUAAGGGUCUUUGCGCCGAAAAUGUAACGGGGCUAAAGCCAUGCACCGAAGCUGAGGAUUUGCAGUAAUGCAAGUGGUAGCGGAGCGUUCCGUAAGCCUGUGAAGGGACAGUCGUGAGACAUCCUGGAGGUAUCGGAAGUGCGAAUGUUGACAUGAGUAACGAUAAAGGGGGUGAGAGACCCCCUCGCCGAAAGACCAAGGGUUCCUGCUUAAAGUUAAUCUGAGCAGGGUUAGCCGGCCCCUAAGGCGAGGCAGAAAUGCGUAGUCGAUGGGAACCACGUUAAUAUUCGUGGGCCUGGUGGUAGUGACGGAUCACACAAAUUGUACAGUCUUACUGGAUUGAUUGUGCAGUGGAGUGGUUCCAGGAAAUAGCUCCACCGUAUAGACCGUACCCGAAACCGACACAGGUGGUCAGGUAGAGUAUACCAAGGCGCUUGAGAGAACUAUGUUGAAGGAACUCGGCAAAUUGCACGCGUAACUUCGGAAGAAGCGUGACCCCUUUUUACGCAAGUGGAGAGGGGUGGCACAGACCAGGGGGUAGCGACUGUUUAUCAAAAACACAGGGCUCUGCGAAGUCGCAAGACGACGUAUAGGGUCUGACGCCUGCCCGGUGCUGGAAGGUUAAGAGGAGAGGUGCAAGCUUUGAAUCGAAGCCCCAGUAAACGGCGGCCGUAACUAUAACGGUCCUAAGGUAGCGAAAUUCCUUGUCGGGUAAGUUCCGACCUGCACGAAUGGCGUAACGACUUCCCCGCUGUCUCCAACAUAGACUCAGUGAAAUUGAAUUCCCCGUGAAGAUGCGGGGUUCCUGCGGUCAGACGGAAAGACCCCGUGCACCUUUACUAUAGCUUUACACUGGCAUUCGUGUCGGCAUGUGUAGGAUAGGUGGUAGGCUUUGAAGCUUGGACGCCAGUUCGAGUGGAGCCAUCCUUGAAAUACCACCCUUAUCGUCAUGGAUGUCUAACCGCGGUCCGUUAUCCGGAUCCGGGACAGUGUAUGGUGGGUAGUUUGACUGGGGCGGUCGCCUCCGAAAGAGUAACGGAGGCGCGCGAUGGUGGGCUCAGACCGGUCGGAAAUCGGUCGUCGAGUGCAAUGGCAUAAGCCCGCCUGACUGCGAGACUGACAAGUCGAGCAGAGACGAAAGUCGGUCAUAGUGAUCCGGUGGUCCCGCGUGGAAGGGCCAUCGCUCAACGGAUAAAAGGUACGCCGGGGAUAACAGGCUGAUGACCCCCAAGAGUCCAUAUCGACGGGGUUGUUUGGCACCUCGAUGUCGGCUCAUCGCAUCCUGGGGCUGGAGCAGGUCCCAAGGGUUUGGCUGUUCGCCAAUUAAAGCGGUACGUGAGCUGGGUUCAGAACGUCGUGAGACAGUUCGGUCCCUAUCUGCCGUGGGUGUAGGAAUAUUGACAGGAUCUGUCCCUAGUACGAGAGGACCGGGAUGGACAUAUCUCUGGUGGACCUGUUGUCGUGCCAACGGCAUAGCAGGGUAGCUAUAUAUGGAAUGGAUAACCGCUGAAGGCAUCUAAGCGGGAAACCAACCUGAAAACGAGUAUUCCCUAUCAGAGCCGUGGAAGACGACCACGUUGAUAGGACGGGUGUGGAAGCAGGGUAACCUGCGAAGCUUACCGUUACUAAUAGCUCGAUUGGCUUAAUCGUUCUCAUU